rnacentral:tRNA from 1 species
GGGCGGGUAGCUCAGCUUGGUUAGAGCACUAGCUCGACACGCUAGGGGUCGCUGGUUCGAGUCCAGUUCCGCCCA